rnacentral:tRNA from 1 species
GCUCUGGUGGUCUAGUGGUAUGAUUCUCGCUUAGGGUUCUAACUCCAGAGCACACUUGCGAGAGGUCCCGCGUUCAAUCCGCGGCCAGAGCC